GCGUUACCAGGGAAACAGCCGUUGGAUUUGUGGCGCCAGCUCAGAUGUCUGAGAAGAAAAAGAAUGAAGACAAUGGGACAAGCAGUUCGCUAAGUAAAGAACUGAGUGGAAAUACCUUGGAUGACUGGACAGCCAAGAGUGUUGGAGCAGUGACCCAGGGUCUGAGGAUGCCUGCUCUACCCCUGAUCACUCCUGGGGAUUUGUGUAAGUCACUUCCCCUUUUGGGGCCUCAUUUCCUCAUCUGCAAAGCAAGGGGUCUUCAGUGGUUUCUUUCCAUCUGGAGAUUUCUCAGUGAGUCUCAAAAACAGAUUUUAUUGCGGUUGAUGGAUAGGUCCAUGAUGUGGAUUGUGGUGAUGGUUUCAUGGGUAUAUACAUAUGUCAAAGCUUUUCAAAUGGCAUAUUUUAAGUAUAUGCAGUUUAUUGUAUGUCAUAUAUAUCUCGAUAUAGCUAUCUAAAAAAACUUAUUUUAUCCAGCUUUCAGAAUGAUGAGGCGGUAGAAAGGAUGAUACUCUCUUCUGAUAAGCAUCUGUUUAUAUUGUCAGUAGCAGAGAGAAACAACAGUGAUUUCUGGAGUUUUCCCUACAGCUUCCUACUAAGGCUUGUGCUUUCUCCUCCUCCAACUUCUUCUAUUCAUUAAAAAAAAUUACUGAUUUCAUCCAUUCCAGGAAAUGUUCAUUUUGUUCAUCUCAGGCAUCAUCCUUGAGUCCUCACUCCUUUUUGGAAUGCCCGAGGUUCAGGAGCAAGGGGUCUGAGCUUCAGUUGGAUCCCCAAUGUGGCUCUAGGCUCAUCCCCACUAUCUUUUUCAGGAAGAGAAGAGAGCUGUCAUGUCCCUAACACUUACAGUGAACUCAACUCGUUGGGUAGUAACUCUCAGCAAAAAUUCCUCUUUGAAAGCAUAUUGUAAGGGAGAUAAAACAAAUUCCUACAGUGGAACUUCACACACUGUGACAAUUGGGUGAGGAAAUGCUCAGAGGCUGCUGUGGAGGUGGCUAUCUGCCCCUCCUUUCCAACCUACUGGUAUAUACCCUUUUCCUGACUUCUCCUAUGCCCAGUCAGGCACCAGUCACUCACCAGGGACUCUGAUUCUUCCACUGAAAUGCCUCUUGGAGCCCUUCUCAUGCAUUCCCAGCCACCACCCAGCCCAGAUGCGUCGUUUAAAAAUCUGGAUUUCUCCAGGAAGCUCCUUGCUUGGCUUCCUGCUUAAAGCAUCGGUUGUGCAUGAUUCAUCAUUCUCAAGACUGCAGUCACUUACCAGCUCAGAAACCUUCUGAGGCUCUACAUUUGCUCCUUUCAUCAGGUGUAAAGUCUUCUGCUUGAACUGUGAGGCCCUCUAUCACCUUCUCGUAUCUUCUUUUCAUAUUCUACCUUCUCCACCAUGCCCAGGGUCAGGUCUGCCCAAGUGGGGCAAAUUCCCUCCCAACUCUAUCGUGUACCAUUUUCCCCCAGUUCUCUACCUUUCUCAUGUUUCCAAACCACCAGAAAUCCAUACUCUCCUCAGCAAAUCCUAUCUGCCCGUCUUUUCCAAGAAGCUUUUACUGAUUCUGCAAGUACCUUAAUUUCUUUCUUUCUUUUUUCUAAAAAAUUAUUUUAUUUAUUUAUUUUUGGCUGUGUUGGGUCUUUGUGCACAGGCCCUCUCCAGAAGUAUGUUAAUUUCAAUUCAUAUGACUACUGUCUACUUGAUAGGUGCUGGGGACAUGAGGAUGAAUUAUGGUCUCUGCCUCUUGGUUUCUUUCUUCUCCCCAACACCCAAGAGAAUGAAAAAACCAGAAACACCCGUAAAGUAGGUACUUGAAAAUUCUAACCCAGGGAUUUAGAGCCUGUGCAGAUAAAGAAUUUGACACUGAGUGAAAUGGAGCAGGACCCUUUGGUCUUUGUCCCCCAGGUCCUCUGCCUGCCUUUUGUCUGUGGAAAAACUUUAGCCAAAAAAUAAGUUUAA